UUUGAAAGCUGGCUCCUUCGGGGUCCGGAUUGUAAUUUGCAGAGGAUGCUUCGGGUGCAGCCCCCGUCUAAGUGCCCUGGAACGGGCCGUCAUAGAGGGUGAGAAUCCCGUAUGGGGCGGGGUGUCUGCGUCCGUGUGAAGCUCCUUCGACGAGUCGAGUUGUUUGGGAAUGCAGCUCUAAAUGGGUGGUAAAUUUCAUCUAAAGCUAAAUACUGGCCGGAGACCGAUAGCGCACAAGUAGAGUGAUCGAAAGAUGAAAAGCACUUUGAAAAGAGAGUUAAACAGCACGUGAAAUUGUUGAAAGGGAAGCGCUUGCAACCAGACUCGCUCGCGGGGUUCAGCUGGGCUUCGGCCCGGUGUACUUCCCCGCGGGCGGGCCAGCGUCGGUUUGGGCGGCCGGUCAAAGGCCUCCGGAAUGUAGCGCCCUUCGGGGCGCCUUAUAGCCGGGGGUGCAAUGCGGCCAGCCUGGACCGAGGAAC
rnacentral:rRNA from 1 species